ACACUUUCUGACAAUUUUCAUCCCGACAUCUCUUAGGUAAUCAAUUCCAGUUACCUGUCAACAAUCCAGACAAAUGAGUUCCAUGCUUGUGAAGAAUAAUCGGAUGGCCAAUAUGCUAAGGUUCUAUUUGGUGUUGGAUGUCUUUCAAAUGCACGUCAAUGAUUGGUAUGUUUUUAGUAGUAGCUUGGUUCUGCUUUUGUCAAAACCAAUAGCUUUCAAUUCCAUAAGUCAAGUUUAGAAACCAAUAGGGUUCUGCUUUCCUUAAUUAUUACAUUCAAUUUCAGGAAAUAAAAAUUGUUUGUGCUUUUA